rnacentral:rRNA from 1 species
ACUCAAAGGAAUAGACGGGGGCCCGCACAAGCGGCGGAGCAUGUGGAUUAAUUCGAUGCAACGCGAAGAACCUUACCUGGGUUUGACAUACACUGGAAGGUCGUGGAGACACGGCUGCCGUAAGGUCGGUGUACAGGUGGUGCAUGGCUGUCGUCAGCUCGUGUCGUGAGAUGUUGGGUUAAGUCCCGCAACGAGCGCAACCCUUGUCCCAUGUUGCCAGCGGGUUAUGCCGGGGACUCAUGGGAGACUGCCGGGGUCAACUCGGAGGAAGGUGGGGACGACGUCAAGUCAUCAUGCCCCUUAUGUCCAGGGCUUCACACAUGCUACAAUGGCCGGUACAGAGGGCUGCUAAGCCGUGAGGUGGAGCGAAUCCCAUAAAGCCGGUCUCAGUUCGGAUCGGGGUCUGCAACUCGACCCCGUGAAGUCGGAGUCGCUAGUAAUCGCAGAUCAGCAAUGCUGCGGUGAAUACGUUCCCGGGCCUUGUACACACCGCCCGU